rnacentral:miRNA from 1 species
GGCCAGCUGACACAUCCCUGCCAAUCUCCGGCAGACUCUCCCUCCCAGACCCUCCUACAUCCUGGACAGCAUCCAUGUUGAAGCUGCCUUCAGCAUGGAUGCUGUCCAGGAAGUAGGAGGGUCUGGGAGGGAGGGUCUGCCGGAGAUUGGCAGGGAUGUGUCAGCUG